rnacentral:rRNA from 1 species
AAAUUGAAGAGUUUGAUCAUGGCUCAGAUUGAACGCUGGCGGCAGGCCUAACACAUGCAAGUCGAACGGUAACAGAAAGCAGCUUGCUGCUUUGCUGACGAGUGGCGGACGGGUGAGUAAUGUCUGGGAAACUGCCUGAUGGAGGGGGAUAACUACUGGAAACGGUAGCUAAUACCGCAUAACGUCGCAAGACCAAAGAGGGGGACCUUAGGGCCUCUUGCCAUCGGAUG